UUCAUCCAGUAUUUCUGGCAAUUAUUUUUUAGGAAGCAGCAAAGCAGUGUAAAUGAAAAACAGCUUCUCUUGUUCUUAUAUAAAGUUUAAAGCCAUCUUUUAAGAUCCGACACAUCCAAGACAUUUUAGAGAGAAAAACUGAGGAACCAAAACACAAAGCAACAGCAGGGGAAAAGAGCUAAAGUCUUGCCACCCAAACACAGCUGGAGUGGAUGCGUGAAUAGACUGGGCCGUCCACCUGAAACUGCCCUACAUAAGGCUCUGUCCUGUCCUUCCUUCAGGACAAAUACACCAGAUUCAAGGAACGGGGCUGUUCAAGUGGCCACAGAGCGACCGGCCAACCAGGUGAAUCCCGUUACUCCUGAUCGCCACUCCGACUAUGUUUUGGACGAUUAACAUUGC